rnacentral:tRNA from 1 species
AUUUAAAUAGUUUAAUAAAAAUAUUGAUUUGUGGAGUCAAAGUUAUAGUAAUAGAUAUAUUUUAAAUA